UACGGAGGAUGCGAGCGUUAUCCGGAUUUAUUGGGUUUAAAGGGUGCGUAGGCGGACUGUCAAGUCAGCGGUAAAAUUGAGAGGCUCAACCUCUUCUCGCCGUUGAAACUGGUGGUCUUGAGUGGAUGAGAAGUACGCGGAAUGCGUGGUGUAGCGGUGAAAUGCAUAGAUAUCACGUAGAACUCCGAUUGCGAAGGCAGCGUACCGGCGCCCUACUGACGCUGAAGCACGAAGGCGUGGGUAUCGAACAGG
rnacentral:rRNA from 1 species